UAUAUUAUGGAGAGAGUAAGGAUUGAUAGUGUAGAGAUUAGAGAGAGAUUAGAGUGAGAGAGAGAUCAAAGGCAUUAAUUGCCAAUAUUCUUUAAGAUUUGCAAAAUCUCUAUAAGAUCAUCUAAAUCUUGCAAAUCCAUUCAUAUCUCUCAAGCAACUCUCUCUCUCCUUCAUCCUCACCAAUCGGCCACCUCUCUCUCUCUUUUCUCUCUCAUAAUUCCUCCAUUGUCAACCAUUGGAGAGACCUCCGAAGCUUCACCAAAAUAUGCCAAACACAUAAAUCACCAACAAAAUUCCACCUAAACACCUCCUAUCAACUUGAAUCCAAGGAAAUCCUUGAAGAUUGGCUUCAAGACUAGUGAGAGAAAGUUUGUUUGUUGGUGAAAAACUUGAACACGAGCAGAGCAAGGAAGUAAGUAACUCCGCUUUGACGGGAGUUUUUGAGUAAGGUCUUCAGACUAAGCGAGGAGCGAGAUUGGUCUGGUGCUGGCGGGGAAAUGUUGGAGGAUGUAUUUACUUUAUCGUAUUUCCAUUUUGACGAUAAAGUCUUGAU